AGCAGCCGCGGUAAUUCCAGCUCCAAUAGCGUAUAUUAAAGUUGUUGCAGUUAAAAAGCUCGUAGUUGAACUUCGGGAUUUGCCCAUUGGUCAGGCUUAACUGUCUGCACUGGUGUGACGAGUUCCUACCUUCUGAGGAAUCUCCAUGUCAUUCAGUUGGUGUGGGGGAAAUCAGGACUGUUACUUUGAAAAAUUAGAGUGUUUAAAGCAGGCAUCCGUCUGAAUACAUUAGCAUGGAAUAAUAAAAUAGGACGGUUUGGUUCUAUUUUGUUGGUUUCUAGGAUCACCGUAAUGAUUAAUAGGGAUAGUUGGGGGCAUUAGUAUUCAAUUGUCAGAGGUGAAAUUCUUGGAUUUAUUGAAGACUAACUACUGCGAAAGCAUUUGCCAAGGAUGUUUCCAUUAAUCAAGAACGAAAGUUAGGGGGUCGAAGACGAUCAGAUACCGUCGUAGUCUUAACCAUAAACUAUGCCGACUAGGGAUCGGACGAUGUUAAUUUUUUAAUGUAACUCGUUCGGCGCCU
rnacentral:misc_RNA from 1 species